rnacentral:rRNA from 1 species
GAGUUUGAUCAUGGCUCAGAUUGAACGCUGGCGGCAGGCCUAACACAUGCAAGUCGAGCGGAUGACGGGAGCUUGCUCCUUGAUUCAGCGGCGGACGGGUGAGUAAUGCCUAGGAAUCUGCCUGGUAGUGGGGGACAACGGUUUCGAAAGGAACGCUAAAUACCGCAUACGUCCUACGGGAGAAGGCAGGGGGACCUUCGGGCCGUUGCGCUAUCAGAUGAGCCUAGGUCGGAUUAGCUAGUUGGUGGGUAAUGGCUCACCAAGGCGACGAU